AAGCCAUGUUACAAAAAAAAAAAAAAAAGAAUAUGUUAAAUUGGAUCAAACUGUUAACAUCUAUUUAAAAUUGGGCUUUGUGUAGUUUUUCGGUUGGGCUUUUGUUUACAAAAUUAUAACUCUAAUUUCUUUUUGAUUCCUUUGUUUUAGUUUGAAGUAUACACUCAAGACGAGUUACGACAAACAAAUUUUUAGUAAUCAGAAAACAGAAAUCAAACAAGAAUUUAAAAUGUUAAA